rnacentral:sRNA from 1 species
UUACAAAUAUUUAACCCCAUCCACAGGCUCACAGGUUAACCCUUGACCCCAAGCUGGCGGUGCUGCUUUGGGAGGUGGUGGAAGCUGUAGGAGGCAGGGCCUCAGUUGAGGAAGUGGGUCAGCAUGGCUCUGCAUUCUCAAGACACAACAAUCCAGAGGCAGUGACAUGAAUGCUUGCUCCGUGGACAGGUGGAAAAAUGACUGGGGAUAAAGGAUGGAUGAGAGCAGGACCUGCUGUCUCACAGCAGCGCCACACAGAACCCCACCUGCUGUGGAAUGCACACGAGCCAUUUUAGAGCAUGGGGGAAAUGUGGUAAAAUCCUUUAAAAUCUUCCUGACGAGUAAAUUCCUGGAAAGCAAUUAAUGUGGAAGGCUUUCAGGGACCAGAGGGAGUGGCAGAUAGCUUGAAUCCUGUUUCCUGAGUGGUCAGCCACGGACAUCACUCCAAACCAGGUAGCAAAGAGUGUGCUUUUUACAUCUCUGUUCUAGGAAGAACAUUUGCACAACUUCUAGCAACAUUCUUGGGUCAGUGGCCAUGACCCUGAGGCAAUGCUUAGCGCUACAGUGAUCGUUUGACUCCACACGGUACUACAAAAAGUGAAGCAGUGAAAGCCCUGGGCCACACCAACAAGCACGUGACAAGAGAGACGCUUGCUCAUACGACAGAGGCCUGCAUCCCUUAGGCAGAGUACUGACCAUGAUUGGAUGCGAAUGGAAGAAUGUCAACUAAGGAUUGUGUCUAUAUAGAAAAUCAUUAGCCAAACACCACAGGGCUAAUUAAUGUCAUUUGAAAUACUUUCUGUGUAUGUUGAAUAGAGUGCCGCCAUUAUCAUCUGGCCAAACGAAAUGCCUGCCCAUAAACAACAUGGAGCUAUUUAACAGGAUAGCUAAUUACAUCUCGUCUCACAGCCCCAACUGAUCCUAAGCAACAACUCCCUAAGCUGUGUUGUAGUGCAAGGUAGCCUAAGGCUCUGGGGCAGUUACUGAAUCAUGAGAUUUUACUGUUAGAACUUGUUCGGUGUGUUUAAAAACCACCAAAAUAUUGAAUGGAGUAAAGUUACUAGGGAGACCGCAGCUUGGAAAGAGGCAGAGGAGAUCAAGAUAGAGAGGGACACUUCAAAAGCCACGCUCGGGCUCACAGGCACCUGGCACGAAGCUAAGAAUGCUGGGGGAAUGGGAGGGAAAGUACCAAGCCCUGUGCUUUGCUCCAGGUCACCUGGUUCUAUGCGGCACCCUUGUGGGUGGCCUGUGGCAUCUAUGGCUGGAGGCAGCUGCAUGUGUUUCCAUGGUCUUCAGGUGGCAGGUUCUCUUUUUACCAAGCACUUUGUAUAAACUGUUCCCUUCAGCCUUCCUUCUUCACAUACAUUCUAUAGGAGGUUUAUUUUGGGCCCAAGGCGUGCUUCUCUCUGCAUUUGAUCUCAAAGCAAGCUCGUUGAAAAGAGGACCAGAGACCUAGACAAACCUUAUGGACUUGUGUCAUCCUUCUAUGUAUGCAAGAGACACAUUCCAGGUCCCCCCAUAGGCACCCAAGUUCUCACAUGCUCCGCUGUGGCAUUGCCAUAGAUCUGUACACAUCCCAGUGUGUGUAUUUUGAAUUGUCUCUAGACAAGUUUUGAUGAUAUUGCUGUGUCCAUGCCAGGGAGACAUUUGUUAAUGCUGCAUUGUGUUGGGGAUAAAGACAAGGGGAAAGCCACUCAUGCUCUGUGCAGAGGCAUUUUCAGUAAUCCCCCACCAUGGGGGAGGGAGGUCAGUUAAACCCUAGUGUCCAGGUUGGCUUUUUACUGCUGUGAUAAACACCAUGACCAAAAGCAAAUUGGGGAGAAAAGACUUCAUCUUAUGGCUUAUCGUGCAUCAUCCAGCAAGGCCAGGGCAGGAACUUGAGACAGGGACCUGGAAGGACGUACGAACUAAAGCAGAGACCAUAGAGGAAUGCUACUUACUCUCUUGCCUCCACUGCUUGUUCAUACAGCUCAGGACCACCUCCCACAACGAACUCCAUCCCCCAACCCACGUCCACCUUUAAUCAAGAGUCUUUCCUACAAACCAAUCUAAUGGAGGUAGUUUCUCAGCUGAGUGCUACUCCUCUACUAGUUUGUGUCAGGUUGACAAAUACUAACUAGCACCCUGGAUACAGCAGAUGUCAUGGAUACAAAGGGCUGGCUGCAGUGAUGGGACACUGGCCACCUUACUACCUUACUUCCUACCUACGAUGUGUCAAAGUCCAUCUCACUUUAAACCUAAAGGAGAAAAUAAUUUUGAAUAUUUUUCUUGAUUUUUUUCCCCAAAUGGGAUAUGGGAAAAAAGUACAACAUUACUGGGUCAUUAUUGUUCGUUUUCAGAACAAUGACAGAAUCUGAAAUCAUAUGGGAAAUGGACUCUGGGUUGGAACCCAGAACCUUGUCCCUCCCACUUAGGCAUGUGCUCUUACACUGAGCUACACCCUUGGCCUCAUACCUUCAUUUCUAAAAAUAAUGCCAAUGUGUAAUUGUGAGGAUUAAAGUAACAUGGAGACAAAUGAGUACACACUUCAUGUGCAUCAAAGCGGAGUCAUGCUAGGAAUUGCCUGGAGUGGACAUCUGUCUUAGGAGUUGCCAGGGAUGCUCAUAAUGACUCACAAAGUCUUCAGUGUGCUCCUUGACAUACAGUUUGUGUCACUGGUAUGGUCUUGGCCAGCUGCUCUCCAAUGUUUCCUCUAACUGGCUGCUCUCUGGACAUACCAUGAACCCCUCUGAGAACAAGCUUUUGCAGUGUAUCAGGGCCAACACCACUUGGCUUUUGAGAUGCUAUCUAUGUUUUCCAGCUACAGUGGUUUGUGACAUGCCUGGGCCUGUCCCAGUCUAUCCUAUGGAGACUGUUUACCUGCCUUUUUAAUGCUACAUACAUAUUCAGGUAAGCAGCCUGACGAUGAAUGAUGGCUGUAAGAAGCCAUUUCCAACAGUAGGUUGGGGUCUUGGUGGAUCUCAUGAUGCUCUUCUGUGGGGCUUCUGUAGACUUCAAGGACCAGUAAGCAGUUUUCACCCACAUGGGGGUAUGAGAUGUGAGAGGUGUUUUCUUGCUUUGUUCUCUUACAACUUUUCAAAUUAUAUGAAUGUAAUAAAAAGCAUACAUUAUUAAAAAUUUUAACUAGGUAUUUCACAUAUGGAGCUGUGAAGAAUUUCUUUUGGUGCCAAAAUGUCAUAAGGAAAAAAAGUAUGAGCUUUGUGAUUUGUGGACCUGCUAUGUAGGCAAUCUUUUUCAAAGUUGUAUUUUUCAAGAGGUGUUGGAACAUUUUUCUCCAUAAGGAUCACAGGUGGGAAACUCUUCAUAUACUGCUUCUACAAGUUGGAAAUUUUCCUUGUUUGAGGAUAAUGCAGAAAACAUUCAGUCCUCCAUGUUUGGUUGCUUUAUUUCUUCCUUUAGCCACAUUGCAGAGAACUUUCUAGAAAAGAAUUAAGAAUAUGCACCAAGAAACUCAUCACCACAACUGAGCACACAAUGGUGAGCAAGGUUAUCUCUAAAAUUGUACUCUAUACAUUUUUAAUACUCAAAAAGAAACAUCAAUGUGUCUCAUUUUCUAAUUUGUUAGAGAACAUGUCUGGUAACUGAUUAAACAAGCUAUAAAACACGGGGACCAAAGAGCCUCCAAGAACUUGAAAGACAUAUUACUUGGAUAAGCAAGUAACUCAUGAAAGUGAUGCUAUAGGAAAGAAUUUCUGUACAUCCUCCAUGGCUUGGUCCAAGUGAUGAGCCCUUUUCCAGUCCUUCUCAACAGACUUUAUGACCUACGUCGCCUAUUCCUCUCCUUAAUUCAUUAAACUGCAUUAAUUCAAACUAAUUAUCAUUUAAGCCUUUGACUCUAAAUUUCCUGGAUGAAAAUUUUGGAAUCUCUGAGUCAGAUGAACGUAUUACAUAAGUGCGCCCCAAGGAUUCACAAGCAGAAAACACAUCUUAGCGCUCAGUAAUGCCAGGGGACAUUCUUUUAGGGCAUCAUUCCUCCCUGAUUAUCAUUUUAUCUUCGCUCUUCAGUUGCAAGUCUUUCAUGAAGAAUUUGGGCAACGUUUUAAUUUAAAAAAAUUCCACCAUGCUACUUACAAACAUCAUUUUAAAAAACCUUUUAUUCAAUGGUAUACACAUUCAAGUAACAUUUGAAAUUUUUAAAAUAUAUGCUCAGAAGCAUGUGAACCUGCUGCUCUUGGUUAUUUACCUCACACACCCGGCUCAUGGUCACGUGCCCUUCAGGAGCCUAUUCCUGGAACCCCAUUUGGCAGUUUACCCAACAGAGCAAAAUUAAAAUUUAGAUCCUAGCCCCAAAAUGUUAUGUAACCAAAGCUUUGGUUUUUUGUGACCUUGAAGCGCUAGGUCAAGCCAAACAGCUUGAAUGUAAUUGUGUUUAACUGGAAACUCUGUGUCUGUACAUUUUUAAUGUCCCCAGAUUGCCACAUGAGACUCAGUCUUUAAAUGGGAUCCUUCUGAAGAGCAGAUUUCUUUGGGAGACAGGAUGAGGUAAAUAUGUAGAGACUAAUAUGACACAUGACUGUUUUGCAGGAUGACGCAACCAUGCAGUUGUUUUGUGAUUACCAAGCUCAUGAAGAAUGAACAAUAGACAUUGGAUGCAUUGGUUCAUGCUGUAGCCGCUGUAAUCAGGAAGCUGUGGGAGGAAGAACCCAACAUUCUUACAGAAUGAAUGAAGCACAGAUCCUGCUCAUUCUUCCUGUGUCCACUAUCCACACCAAAAGAAGAUCUACCCAAGUCGAAACCAUCACUCCAUCUGUUACUAUCACUCUUUGGAGUUCAGGACCCCAUCUGCUCCCAAGAGAGCAUGGUUGAAGGUCAGGGGUGGAGUCAGGAACAUUGGUUAGCAUGUUCAGCCCGAGUAGCUGCUGAGUCAGCAUCCAUUACAUCAUUUCUGCUCAUUCCCCAGGCCCUUCUCCAGGUCAUGCUGGACUCCUCCCUGCCAUGUGUCCUGCUCUUGGUGUCACCCUGUUCUUUGGCCCCAGUCUCCUCCUGCCGUCCUCAGAUGGAGGCAGACUCCAUGGAUGCCUGUCUUCUGUAUCUGGUAAACAGACACAGGAAAAUUGCUAGUUCAAAGUCAGCUAGAGCCACAAGGUCCCACUUCACAUUCUGAGUAACUGUCCCAGCUUCUGGAGAGCAAACAGAACAUGCUAAGGACCGUGACAUGGGAAGGUCAGUAGAGACAUCUAUUCUCCCAGUGAUGCUCAUACGGAAACAAUGUGUGACUGAAGUCAAAUGGAAAUACAAAAGCGUAUUUAUUCCUGGUCUAUGCAGUUCCUUGGACACCUGAUACCUCUCUCCUGCUAACAAGAGUUUCAACAAUGUUCACACACACAGAUGCCCCCAACUGGAGACAUAUCUAUAAAAAAAAUCUAUGAUGAAUUUUACUUGGAGCUAUAACAGCAAAAGUUCAAACAAUAUGCAUUCUUGAAAAACAGAAGAGUAAAAAAUAAAAGAUUACUGUAAUAUCCCAAACAAACAGAGAAGUGGUUGAUAUAUUUCUCUGAAGACUCUGGCUUGAUUCAUGUGUCCCACAGAGCACCAGGGAUCAGGUACCAAUAGGCUGGGUCUCAAGACUUUAGAGUCCCGAGGGUGCAGGGCGUGAGGAGACAAGGUUGAGCUGUAUGAAACAUAAUAGAAAACUUAAAAAUGAAACGAAGAGCGAAACAGCAGAAGUCAAGCAAAUGGCGGACACGGAGAGACACAGUAAGAAAAUGGCAACAUAUUUAGAUGUUGCUGCCUGCCGUGUGCUGUGGCUGCUGUGGCUACUGCUGUGGGACCAAGAGUGUUGUCUGGAAGGACAGAACACAGCACUGAAAAAUUUUGGUUUCAUGGAGGAAAAGAAGUUAAAGGAGAGAUGGUGUGGAGGAGAGAUGUGUGAAAAUAACAAAGGAAUAUAAAGAGUCAUCAACAAGAUCACGGGUGAGACACUGAAGUAGGAAAGCAACCCAUUCAUUCUAGAAUAAAAAUAGCAUCACACAAGUAUAAAGAAGACUCACCCCAGUGGAGAAAUGGGCCCUCUGGGCAUCAAGAAGGGGCAGGUACUUGGGAAUGCGCCCCCCCAACCCCCGAGCGCCCCAGUCUUUGUACCUUUCUGUUGACAAAGGCCCAGCUUCCCUGCAGCUCAACGAACACUUGCUGUUUGAGGCUAAACUGGGAACCAGAUGAAAAAAAGAGGAGUAACCGACCAGCAUCUAAACAAACAAGAAUAAAUUAC